rnacentral:sRNA from 1 species
AAAAAGCUAUUGUUCAUACGUAGAGAGGCAUAGAGCUUUCAAUUGGGUGUACGCUGAAGAAGAAAACGAUAUAUCAAA